ACUUGGUGUCUUACAAUCAAGAAUUCUGUCUCUGCUAGACCCCAGUGACACACCAGGAACUCUUUUCAAAAAGCAUGCAAGAUGCAGCAAUUCGUCUUUUGGAAGAAGAGUUGUCCUCACUUGGCCUGACCCAGCUGGAUCCCUACACACUUUACAACAGUGGAAGUUCACUCCGGUGCUAUCAAACUCCUGUAGUCUGUAAUGUGUAUGUCUUACCAACGUCUCCAUGUGCUAGCCACCCUCGCUCACUCACCUGAUCAACAGGAAGAAGAGUAGAACGUCCAGACAGCUCAGAGCUCAUCUGAUCCUAUUAUAACAGAAGGUAACGCAGGUCCCAAAUAAAGCUGUAAAUGUAUAUUCUUCAUGUAAA